CGCCUGUUUAACAAAAACAUGUCCUUUUGAGUAUUAUUUAAGGUUUAAUCUGCCCAAUGAGGAGUUUAAUGGCCGCGGUAUUUUAACUGUGCUAAGGUAGCAUAAUCAUUUGUCUUUUAAUUGGAGGCUGGUAUGAAUGGUUGGACGAAAUAUCUACUUUCUUUAAUUUAUAUUAUGAAUUUAAUUUUUUAGUUAAAAAGCUAAAAUUUUUUUAAGGGACGAGAAGACCCUAUAGAUCUUUAUAUUUGACGGUAAUUAAAUGUUUUGGCUAUUGAUCUAAUUUGAUUCCGUUAUUUAUUUGAUUGGGGCGAUUUAAGAAUUAAAGUAACUUCUUUAUUUAAAGUUCAUUGAUUAAUGUAUUUAUGAUCCAAUGUGUAGUUUUGAUUAAAAGUUUAAGUUACCUUAGGGAUAACAGCGUAAUUUUUUCGGAGAGUUCUUAUCGAUGAUGAAGUUUGCGACCUCGAUGUUGGAUUAAAAUAAGUAAUAAAUGUAGCAGUUUAUUUACUAGGUCUGUUCGACCUUUGAAGUUUUACAUGAUCUGAGUUCAGACCGG
rnacentral:rRNA from 1 species